rnacentral:piRNA from 1 species
UACAAUACUUUGAAACAGUAA